CACUGAGGGAGGGGAGGAGUCAAAAAUGCCCCCUUCACUUAUUACCUCCUCUCCAGAGCGCAGGUCAGAAUCUACAAUCCUUUCUCCCCUACCAGCCCCUGUGCCAGAUCCCUCCAGCAGAGCCUGGAGUCCUGCCCAUCCUUGACCUCUGAGCCUGGGGAGGGAGAGGAGCAAG